UACCUCGGACCGGAGCCCAGUCGGGGCUAU
rnacentral:sRNA from 1 species